rnacentral:rRNA from 1 species
UACGGAGGGGGCAAGCGUUAUUCGGAAUUAUUGGGCGUAAAGGGCGCGUAGGCGGCUAGAUGUGUCAAAGGUGAAAUCCCUCGGCUCAACUGAGGAACUGCCUUUGAAACUGUCUGGCUUGAGGCCGGGAGAGGGUAGCGGAAUUCCCGGUGUAGAGGUGAAAUUCGUAGAUAUUGGGAAGAACACCGGUGGCGAAGGCGGCUCUCUGGACCGAGACUGACGCUGAGGCGCGAAAGCGUGGGGAGCAAACAGG